AUGCUUUGUGCCCUUGUUUGUAUUUGGUUUUCUGCAUAUUGCCUGACGUUCUAUAACUAUCUUCAGGAGGAUCUUUGGCUGUCGGCUUUUCCUAUAGGGACAGAGUGGGAAAAUAUUGAUAAGAUUAAGGAGUUCAACUGGAACUUUGAAAAUUUAGAGAAAGCUCUAGAAGAAGGGGGGGAACUGUAUGGGAAUACGGUCUAUGUAUUUGGCAGCACUGAGCCUCAACUGUUGAAUGUUGAUGGUGAAUCAAAGAUAGUGCUUAUUCCAGUUGUAGUUGCGGUCAGUUUCCUUCCAUUCCUUUUACCUGAUAAUUUAUCUCCUCAUUUUCUUUGGUAUUCUAUUUUAUAUGCAAAUUCGUCGAUGCGAGACUUGGACCAUGAAUUUCCUUCAGUUGCUUAUUUUGUAGUAGUAUACUCCUUUGUGACAAUCAAGAAUAUGCUAGCCGUAUUGCCAGCAUUAUAUGUAUAUACUCCAUAUGGUAGUAUAUACUCUGAGAAUUGGUGUAUAUACCUUAUUUGUAAAAUAGUAUGUAUAUACUUCUUGCUAACUACUCUGUAUUAUCAUGGUGGGUUAAAUAGUUUUUGGUCUUCUAACUCUCUAGGAUAA
rnacentral:rRNA from 1 species